rnacentral:rRNA from 1 species
GACGAACGCUGGCGGCGUGCUUAACACAUGCAAGUCGAACGGAAAGGCCCCUUUGGGGGUACUCGAGUGGCGAACGGGUGAGUAACACGUGAGUAACCUGCCCUUGACUUCGGGAUAACUUCAGGAAACUGGGGCUAAUACCGGAUAGGAAUCCUUGCUGCAUGGUGGGGGUUGGAAAGCUUCGGCGGCUUUGGAUGGACUCGCGGCUUAUCAGCUUGUUGGUGGGGUAGUGGCUUACCAAGGCUUUGACGGGUAGCCGGCCUGAGAGGGCGACCGGCCACAUUGGGACUGAGAUACGGCCCAGACUCCUACGGGAGGCAGCAGUGGGGAAUAUUGCACAAUGGGCGGAAGCCUGAUGCAGCAACGCCGCGUGCGGGAUGACGGCCUUCGGGUUGUAAACCGCUUUCAGCAGGGGCGAAGCUUGUGGUGACGGUACCUGCAGAAGAAGCACCGGCUAACUACGUG